ACUAAAUGACAGCAUUUUUCUACGUGAGAUACCGGCUUAACGUUGGAUAUACUCGUGAGUGCUCGUCUGCAUAUGCUGCGUACGAGGAACGAGCAGUCAAAGGAAACCGGCUGAGAUCCUUAAAGGGCAGAUGAAACAUGAUGUAACAAAAAUAUCAAACUAAUUAAACAGCAAGAAUUCCAAUGAUAAUCAGCAAUGUAAUAAAACGUCAAUAUAAUAACUUUCAAUACUUGCAUGACUCGCCAUAAAGUAUAAGAGGUUUCAGAAUAUUUUAUUCUAAACAGCAAUCCGCGUUUCCGUCGACGUACUCGACGUCUAACAAGAAACAGCGCGACGUUUCUUGCGAACGACUUAAUGCUCCUUACAUACGUAGACUCCGCCGGUAAAUCUCAUCUAAUAGGAGACAUAGCCGACAAAUCGGAAGAAGACUCAACGCUCUUUACCGUUCGUUCCAAUGUAAAUCUGUCUUUUUGUCUCGAGUCAUCCUUAUGAAAUUCUGUAAAGGAGGUUAAGAUUUUGAACGAUAAUUCGAAUAAAGGUUAACGUCUUUUCACAACCCGUAUAACGUAGAGACGAUCUUCGAAUUCCAGGAUGAAUCUUACGUUGUCAGAUACACGUGUACAUAACCUAUGUUCUGCCAGGUGAAGUUCGUUAAGAGAUGCGUAUUUCCUGUCCUGUCGGACGUUACAUAAUCCAGCACUCGUUUCAUUAGUGCACUACGUGUUUUCUAACGUAUCUACGAUCUGUACUCGAUGCAAGGACGGCUCAAGGCUUCACCAAGAAGAAGAGAGAGGGCAGAGUGGCUGCAUAGUGCGUAUAAACGUCGCAUUCGUGAAGUCACCGAUUAAUCGGUCUUUUAGAAUUGUUCUAACCUCUCGCUCUCUCGUUUCUUCUUUAUCUUCAUUCCUCUUCCUCUCCGUCUCCUUCGCUAGUCCAUCCAGACGUACUUACACCCACGAGUAAAAUUGGAAUUUCCUAUUGGGACGAAUCUCUUGCGUGUUCCCUCGUGGCGCCAGUUGGAAACAGCAGGAAGCCCAUGGCUAAUUGGUUAGAGUUGAACUUUCGAAAAGAAAUAUACUAAAUGUACGUAUCUACCAGUACAAAUGUAAAGAACGUGAUGAACAGGCACGAUUACCAAACUGACCAGACACGCCUCUUGCAAAUUGGCAUUCGGCUCGGGCGCCAGCCUGGAUAAAGACGUAAUGCCACACGAUUAUACCUUCGCGUAGGUAAGAUUAUGCGUGGCUCAUAAACGCAACUUAAUAUGAUCCUUGGUACAGUGAAAAUACGUACAUUGUACUGUGAGAAGGUAAUAUUAAAAAAUUUUAGUUUCUAUUUUUACAAUUUUUUCUGUCGCUUUAACCAAGUUCUUGUAUUAUACAAUUUUUAUUAGUCGUCUAAUCAAUCCCACUUAAAAACCUUGUCAUUUUAUAGGGACUGGAUCGAUGUCAGCUGCCCUAUGGCCAAGUAACUACCUCCAACAGCAGCUGCGUCGUGAUCCUGCAUUUUACCCUUACGUAAUAAGCUCUUGCGUAAUGAUCACGCGCCAAUGACAUAGCCUCGGAUCGCUGUCCGGUAUUGUCCUGCAGAUAAGUAUAUUACUCCAGGCUGAUACUGUUACGCUUACGCCUGCCCCUGUUCCAAUUUCCUACAAUUUUCCUGCCCUACGCAUUCUCUUUACGAAACCUCCAACACGCGUGCAUACAAUAAUACCGUAGCUAUAUCCACGUCCUACGUAGGCUGCAACGAACUCCUUUCCUUCUCAGAUCAUGGCGCUUUAUCUCGGUCCCACUGUCAUCGUAUAAGCUGAUGCUUGAAAAGGAGAACAAGAAGUAAUCGACGCCUGCACUAUCCUGAGAGCUAAUGACAUCCUGCAAUUAGAAUGAUCAUUUCUAAUAAACUUAUUAAUUAUAUAGAACGGACGUUAUAAGUGUGACUUCAGUUCCUCUGUGAAUUUAGCCAAGAAAUUGUCAAACUAUUUAAUCUAAUUGUAUAGCUAUAUUAUCUGUAAGUUUAUUAUCAAUUAUUAGGCGCGAACCUUCAAAGAAAAGUUUCGCAGUGUAGAAAGCCGCUUUCCUCAGUUACCUCGUAAACUGUGUAUUUGUAGCUCGUUACGUUUAAUAAGGUGGUUACACGGGGGUGACAAACUGCAAAAGAGAGACAGAGGCACGCGAUCGCUCGUGUCUUCGGAGUUUACAAGAUAAUUUAUUUAAUUGCGGGAACAAUGCCUUGUGUAAAAGAUUUCUCCCAAGGAACCAAGAAUCGCCGCAUUGUCUACAGUGGCACCAGCAGGCCUCUCUCUCUCUCUAUCUCUCUCUCUCUGCUUGCGACCAUAUAGACACACCAGGGUCUGCUGCCACUUCCGAAGAGCAAAAUCAUAACGGGCGCCAUGUAUCGUCAUGUCUAAUUGAAUGUGAAACGUAUAUUAACAAUCGUAUAAAAUUCCAUAAAACAAUAUCAAUUAACAUUAACCUCGUCCUUGUUACUCGUUUCCACAGUCGUGAAAAUUCAUGGGAACACAUAACAGUACUUAUAAUAUGUAAAACAAAAAAAUUGUAAAUCUUCGCAACUGUGCGUACUGUAACUGCGGCGAUUAAUUAACGCAAACUAAUUAAAAAUUAGAUGUUAUCGCACGCGAAUAGGAACUUACCAAAAAUUUCAAAUGGUACCACCAGAACAAUACGGGGAUCUGCCUACGUGAACCAGUCACAGUCUCCUGGUCACACAUGCCCAUUAUCUAUUCUUUCUAUAUAUAAACUUCUCUACAUACGUUGCAUAUAUGUAUAUACGAACAUACCUGAACUCCACACAGUGUUACCAAUUCCGGUUAGAUCAUCCCCGGACGUGGUCGUAGCCCGACAAGGUGGUCCUCGUGAAAAGGAAACUGCAUAACAUACAUUUUAUUAUACUGGCUCACACGGCGUACCAACCAUACGGCAACGCAAUGCAGUGAAUAUCCAGGACCUGGGUAACACCAGCAUGUAUCUAUCCACCCUGGAGAAGAUGCUCCGUGGGAGGUUGGAGUCCAACGUUUUGUCGCGUGGGCCUUGUAUCCUGUGUGCCACGUCCAUUUGUCCCAGUGUAUAUAUAUUCCUUUGGUUUCUGUUCUUCUCCUGGACCCGCAGCUUCUCGGCCGACCUGGUAAGAGUCAAGGCCUCAGUAUUAUACCAAAGGACAAAGCGGUUUGGUUUCCCCUUCAUCGAUAUAUCCUUGUGGAUACACACACCCACACACGAAUAUAUAUAUAACUACUCUUUCUUCUUCCUAACCUCUUAUAGAUUUCUGUAUGGGUAUAACAGUCGUAUUGAGAAGACAUGCAAGAAGCAUCCACACAGAAAAUGGCAUCCCUGCUCCAGCCACUCUGCAGACAAAGAGAUGAACUCGCCUGGUGAUUAUUAACAUGCAUUGCGAAACAAUCGGCCUAACGCAACGUAGCCGGCAAAUAAAAAAGGCCUAAUAACCGCACGGCCUACGCUUUCGGAGUAGGAAGUGAAAAUAAAAUGUGGAUGCCACGAAAGUAACUGUUGAAUAUGCAUGUCAACAUUCUAUUCUUUGGCUGCUGUACUGUCUCUUGUCUGUCCUAGAAUGUCAGGUCCUUCCUGCGUCCCUUUAGCGUCUCUCCAAGUUCCGUAAGCGCUGCUCGAAGAAAUUUUCCAAAAGUGUCGAUUACCAUUCUCGAAAUUUUCUUUACAGGAAGUUCGACGUUUUCCAUUCUUGAACUGAGCUGUGACUCGAUGAAGAGGUCCUUUUUGGAUGUAAGCCUGUCUCUUCCUGGAAGGAUGUUAUUAUUCGUAGAGCACAAGAGGAAUACGAAUCAGUUAGUACGCAGUACGGACGCCAGUAUAUGGAAGAAAAUAUAGAGGUCGUUCAAAAGAAAGAAAUACUGAAACCAUUGAGCAACUAAUCCUUGGUAUUAUUUAUUGCUUCGCGAUUGCAGUAACGACGAGUGACUUGACGGAUCGUCGGGACGUCGCCGGAUAUCUCAAUCGUAUAACUUUCCACAUUGUUCUGCCCUAUACGAACAGUACUAAGAGUCUAUCGCACUUUUCAAGGACAGCGUGCUCUAUCUGUUUUCAACGUAACGACAUAUUGAUAAAUUAAUGCUGUGGUAACGGAAGAGUAUAUUUCAUCGUGUAAAACAAUAUCUACGUAGUCAAUAAUUAUCGUGCCUACGCACAUCCUGAUACGUAUUAUCAUCCUGAGGAAGCUAUUUUUUAAAUCCAAUUUUUUCCAUCUGCGUCUGAAGAAAGAGGAAAAAAUCAUAAUGAUUGUACUUGAAAGAUAUUGCAUUAAUUCUUGACACCUUCGGUUUCUGAAAUUUGAGGUCAAUUAAUCAGGGAAUUAAUUACCCAUCUAUGAGUUUGAUUUGAAAAUUAGGAUAACGCCAACGACUCUGAGCGUGACAUCGCGUGUUCCAUUAAUAAGGCCAGCUCGAAGCACCAUUCAACUAGGAUGUUCUUAUGGGGUUGUUGACCAGGGGUGCAACUUGGGUGCGGCCUUAGUAAUAACGCUAAGGGAUAAAGCAAACUCCUCUACCUGUUUGCUAGCAGCACGUAUGUAAAGCCAAACCCUGUUAAGGUGAACUCGAAGACGUAUUUUUUUUCUUCUUAAUAUCCUGAUGGAAUAAAUCCUGAAAUUAGAUUAUCGAUGGGUUAACAUUUAUUAUAGAGAAAAUGCUACACUGCUUGUCUUUGGAACAAUGUACGAAAGUGCAUAACUUUAGACAGCAUAUAGGUUGACGAUCGCAUAUUAAAUUACAAUUGUACAAUUGAGUUUUGUAAAAAAAACAUUGUACAUACUUUUUA